AAUAAAGUAUAAGCAUAAAUAACACAAGAUCUAACUAAUCAAUAUCAACUAGUAUUAUUUUGCUCUUAUUAAAAUCCAUCAAUAGAAUAAUAAAAUGCAACCACAUAACCGAUAUCACAAUUGUAUAUUAUUCAAAUUUCACAAUUUAUAAUUCACCAAAAUUCACAAAUGUAAUUCACCAAAAAUUUACAAAAAUUCAUAUUUCACAACUGUAAAUCAACAAUUUCAUACCAAAAAUAAAAAUUCAUACAGCUCGCAAGUUCAUAAACUCGCAAUUCAUAAAUCAUAGGUUUCGAAAUUAACAACUGAAAUUAGAUGAAAAAGAAUAAAAAAAAUUGAUAAGAAAGUAAGAAAAAAAAAACUAAGAAAGUGGCUCACUGCAGUAGCCACAAGAUCAAUAGCCAGUAGCCACCCGUCGCCCACUAAUAAUUUCUUUUAUUACUUCUCCUCCUCUGCAACAACACCAGCCCCAUCUUUAUCAUCUUCAACCUCUCUCAAUCUGCUACAAUUCCAACCCCUUACUCAAUCCCUACAUUCAUUCUCUCUUAUAUCUGGGCUUUUUUAUUCCCUUCAAUUAAUUUUUUUUGAAUACCGAUAAAAAAAAUUAAAAAGUAAAAUUGAAUAAAAAAAAUAUUUGUUUUCCAGUAUGAAAGCUUCUUAGAAAGAAACAGAAAAGUUGAUUGGGAUCAGAUGAGAAGCCCAUCUUCACCAAAACAGAAGUCUCUUCCCUAAGCUUCUUCCUCACCAAAAGAGUGAAAGACAGGAGACUAGAGAGAGACACGGAAGAGAUAACGUUAGGGUUUGGGUUUCAACUUUUUUUUUUUUUAAUUUUUUUUUUAAAAGUCAGGGGUAGCACGUGCUACCCCUUGUUACACUGUAGCUCCGCCCCUGAAUUUGUCCUAAUGUCCUAAUUUUGAAUCAGAUCUUACAUUUGAUGUAACUCAGUGAUACUAUAUAUGCUACUGCUGCUGCGCUGAAAAUUGCUUGGGUAGCACUCGUAGCAGGGUGUGAGGUUGGCAAUGGGUAUUCUUCGAUGUUAUAUUCCGGACUUCUGGCUAACAUGUGUUGCAUGUCUCCAUCCUCAUGAAGUCGAAUCUCAACCCCGCCCACUGCCUCUUCUCCUCGGAAUUCAUUAGCAGACGCGCCUUUGCUCCGGCGAAGAAAUCGGAUUUGAAGUCCCGUGGGGGUGUCCCAACCACCAGACACGCUCACACCGUACCAUCAUCAUCAUCCUUGUUAUUAGAAGAAUGCCCAGCCUCGCUCGCUGCUGUACUUGCAUGAGUGCAUCUACAUCCACCUAUAUGUCUUCUAACAAUAUGCUCGGUCGGUGAUUCGCGCCUACCACAUUACUUAUCUCGGCGUCCAGUUACUUGCUAUGAAGCACGGGUACUUCUUCAGGGUGUCGUUUCCCGUACCGGGGACGAUACGGGUACGGUACGGGGACGCCGGAAAUACGUCCCUGGCGCGUCUCUGAAAAAUGGGGACGGCGAGUCAUUUGGGGACGGUUGGGGUUUCUUGAUGGGGACGUUUCGGGGACGGUUGAAGCAAAUUUAGAGACGUCUUUUUGCUCUUCACUGAAAUUUCAGACGCAAUUGAAGAAGAGCACUAGUUUCGUGAUUGAGUUUGGUGAGGAGAGGAGAGAGAAAAAAUAGGUAGUAAGUUAGUACUCCUCUGUUGUAUCACGUGAUAUCUUAAAAGAAAAAAUAACUUGUUGCACUUGUGGUUGCGAGCUGUACAUGUCUAACUUUAUUUACUACAACGAACCUUCUCUGUUGACUUUUUCUUUUCUUUUUUAAUACUUCCUCCGUUUUUUUUAGAUGUUACACUUUCAAAAAUUGUGGUUCCCUAGGCAAAAAUUGGAGGAGUAAUUAGGAGAGAAUUAACAUGGGGUUUGAGGGAAGGGAGGAGAGACAAAAGAGGACCCCUUGGGUUCCCCACCACCACCCCCAACGUCCCAGAGAACUCCCACCACCACCCCACCACCCCACCACCCACCUGAAAUUCGAACCACCCACCCAGCCACCGAAACCCCACCCACCCGAAAACCCCACCCAGCCACCGAAAAGCCCACCCCACCCGCCGAAUUUCCUACCCACCCACCCGAAAACCCCACCCACCCACCCGAAAACCCCAACCACGCGCCGAAAACCCACCCCAGCCUCGCGAAACCCCACCUCUACCGCCGCAAAAUUCCACCCCAUCCUCGAAAAUCCCACCUCUACCGCCGAAAAUGGAGGCCGUGGUUUUGCGCGAAGAAAAUUGCGUGGUUUUCGGUAGGUGGGGGUGGGGAUUUCGGUGGUUGGGUGGUGAUUUCGGUAGGUGGGGAAGGUUUUCGUGGGUGGGGAUCUUGUUUUCAGGUGGGUGGGGUGGGGUUUUGGGUGGCUGGGAUUUUCGGGUGGGUGGGGAGCGAUUUCGGGUGGGUGGUGGGAAUUCGCCGGGCUUCUGUGGUGGUGGGUAAGGAGGCUACGAGGUGGGGGAAGGGAUGGGGCAGCUGAGGUGGUGUGGGAGGGUGGUGGAAGAGAAGGGAGGAGGUUUAAUUAAUUUUGGAUUAGUAUAUAAUAAGGUUAAAUUAAGUUAGUUUAAUUUUGAUUAAUCCUUAUAAGUAAGGGUAAGUGAGUAAUUUUACAGCAUAAAACUUUCCAAUUUAGGAAAUAAAAAAAAGUGUAACAUCUAUUUAGAAACAUGCAAUUUAAGGAAAGUGUAACAUCUAAAAAAAACGGAGGAAGUACUUUUUUUUUUCUUUGGCCUGUACUCUUAAAAGACACUUCUCUUCUUGAGAUUUUUAUUAUGUCAACUUUUCUUAUUCAUUAGAAGGAAAAUAUAAAUAUUAAAAACGUAAAGUAAUAUUUUUCUAGAUUUACUUUUACAAUUUGAGUCAUUAAAUAUAAAAUAAUUUUUACCAGAUUUAUUUUUUAUUUUAUUUUUGCCGAAUCCAUGCCGUACCCGUUUUUUGAAAUUUUAAUUUUAUCGUUUUCCGUAUCCGUUCUCGUAUCCGUAUCCGUUCUCGUAUCCGUUUUUGUGCUACCUAGGUUACUUGGUUCUUCUGCACUGUUACAUUAAUUGUAGCUAUUUCGAGCUCGUGUAAUCUGAUUAUUUAUGAUUGGAUAUCAUUGUUUCGCCGUCCUCUUUUGAGGAUUAGAAAAUGACUAGUUUUAAGCCCUCUACUUUGGGUAUGGUCCGACUAUGAGAAUUAAUUUUUCGUUUCUCUUAUUUUUACUUGAUUUUGGUAUGACUUUAUAACCUUUUCAUUUGAUGGUUCUAUAUUUUUUUUGUAUAACUUGAAUGUAUCCGUCUCUUUUGGAUUUAAUUUAUCGAUUUUGCUCAUCCUAGAGAUGUAUUUUGGGCUUCA